rnacentral:lncRNA from 1 species
GCCACUGUCCUGCGCAUGAGAUCCAGCAUGAUGGCUGCCUCUUUGGCGGUCAGGCUGUUGGGUGGAGGCCUGGAAGGCAUCUCUGGCGGCCUCCAGCUCAUUGGCCAAGUUUUGCACCAUUUUGUGAACUCCUCACGAGUCUUGGGUGGAUCACGAGUGACCUGCAAAAAGACAAGUUUGACUGAAUCACUGUGCUGACAAACGAUAUCAGAUUACAAGAGACAGGGCAAUUGGGAAGGGGCCAAAAUGUAUAGUACUCACGAGAGUUGCACGCAGCAGGAGCUCGUUGUCUGAAAUCAGCUGCUGUAUGGGUCCAGGCACAGCAUCUGCUGUGAGUUUCUCUCUGCUCCAGGCCCUAUGACCAGCGUCAAGAGAGUUGUCGCAUACGCUGUCAGGCUGCACUGCACUCCUCAGGGGCCGGCGCAGGGGGCAGAUGAUUAUCUCCAAAUGUCCAGGAGGCUUGGCAGCCUUUUGCACGCGCUUGAGGUGUUGGAGUCCAGACAAUGGAGCAAGCGUACUCAGCUGCUUGACCAGCAGGCUUGCUUGCUUUGGACUUAUGAGAGCCACCAGCACUUCUU